AACGAACGCUGGCGGCAUGCCUAACACAUGCAAGUCGAACGAGACCUUCGGGGCUAGUGGCGCAAGGGUGCGUAACGCGUGGGAACCUGCCCUUAGGUUCGGAAUAACUCCCCGAAAGGGGUGCUAAUACCGGAUAAUGUCUUCGGACCAAAGAUUUAUCGCCUUUGGAUGGGCCCGCGUUGUAUUAGCUAGUUGGUAGGGUAAAAGCCUACCAAGGCGACGAUCCAUAGCUGGUCUGAGAGGAUGAUCAGCCACACUGGGACUGAGACACGGCCCAGACUCCUACGGGAGGCAGCAGUGGGGAAUAUUGGACAAUGGGCGAAAGCCUGAUCCAGCAAUGCCGCGUGAGUGAUGAAGGCCUUAGGGUUGUAAAGCUCUUUUACCCGGGAUGAUAAUGACAGUACCGGGAGAAUAAGCUCCGGCUAACUCCGUG
rnacentral:rRNA from 1 species